rnacentral:rRNA from 1 species
AUUGAACGCUGGCGGCAGGCCUAACACAUGCAAGUCGAGCGGAUGAAGAGAGCUUGCUCUCUGAUUUAGCGGCGGACGGGUGAGUAAUGCCUAGGAAUCUGCCUGGUAGUGGGGGAUAACGUUCCGAAAGGAACGCUAAUACCGCAUACGUCCUACGGGAGAAAGCAGGGGACCGUCGGGCCUUGCGCUAUCAGAUGAGCCUAGGUCGGAUUAGCUAGUUGGUGAGGUAAUGGCUCACCAAGGCGACGAUCCGUAACUGGUCUGAGAGGAUGACGAGUCACACUGGAACUGAGACACGGUCCAAACGCCUACGGUAGGCAGCAGUGGGGAAUAUUGGACAGUGGGCGAAAGCCGGAUCCAGCCAUGCCGCGUGUGUGAAGAAGGUCUUCGGAUUGUAAAGCACUUUAAGUUGGGAGGAAGGGCAGUAAGUUAAUACCUUGCUGUUUUGACGUUACCGACAGAAUAAGCACCGGCUAACUUCGUGCCAGCAGCCGCCGUAAAAC